AAUAAUUGAUAUGUGAUUUAAAUAGAUGUAGUUAUAUAAAUUGAUUGAAUAAAUAUGAUAAAUUGAAGAAUUGCUUGUCCGUGCAUUGCACGGAGACGGGUUAAAAUCCUAGUAUAUAUAUAUGUGCCCCUUCUGCAAUGGUGCCAUACUCCGGAUACAACUUUGGUAUACUCGCUCCACUAUUGCUUCUUGAAUCGCUCAGUUAAGGCGUUUCUAGAAGCAAAAAGUGAUUUUAUACAAUGAGCUUAUUCAAAGCUCUUUUUGUUUGGUGCCUUCUAUGGAUGGGGUUGUUUCAGUCAUCAGUAGUGGUUGGGGCAAAGGUGAGGCACUACAAGUUUGAUGUGGAGUACAUGUUCAAGAAACCAGAUUGCUUGGAGCAUGUUGUGAUGGGAAUCAACGGCCAGUUUCCAGGCCCAACUAUCAAAGCUGAAGUUGGUGACACCCUUGACAUUGCACUCACCAACAAGCUCCACACAGAGGGAACUGUUAUUCAUUAGCAUGGAAUCAGCUUGGAACACCUUGGGCAGAUGGAACUGCUGCGAUCUCACAGUGUGCUAUAAACCCAGGAGAGACUUUUCAUUACAGGUUCACUGUUGAUAGAGUAAGCUAAGUGCAUUAUUUCAUUUUCACUCCUCUUUUUUAAUUUUUUUUUUUCCAUUUGCAUAUACUAUAGGAUUCUACUUUGAGUCAUGAGUAUGAUUGAUAUCACCCCAUCUUGCUUGUCUUGAGCUCAAGUGGCAUCUCUGGCCGCGGAUUCUAUUUUUGUGUGUCAAAUUAUUUGUGUGUUCUAUACGUUAAUUAAUAUAUUCAUAUGAUGAGUUUUUAAUUAUAUGGUGCAGCCUGGUACAUAUUUCUAUCAUGGACAAUUGGACACUAUGGUAUGCAAAGAGCAGCAGGGUUGUAUGGUUCUCUGAUAGUAGAUUUACUAAAGAGGCAAAAUGAACUAUUUCACUUUGAUGGUGAGUUCAACCUUACUCAGUGAUUUGUGCAGGGCCGCCCAACAAUAAUUGAAGUCUAAAGCAAAACUUUAAAGUGAGAUCUUUUUUUGGGACCUUUUUAACUUAGUAUUAAUGCUUGGUUUUUUAAGGCAUUAUUUUUUACUUAGUUAAAAAAAAUUGAGGCCUUUUUUAUUUAGUAAAAAAAUUCUUUUGGAGGCCUAAAGUCCUUACUUGGGUGACUUUACCCUUAGGCCCAUCCUGAAUUUGUGGCACACAAGUUCCCAUGAACAAGAGGUUGGCCUCUUCCAAGCCACUCAAAUGGAUCGGUGAACCUCAGAGUUUGCUCAUCAAUGGACGUGGACAACUCAAUUGCUCCCUUGCAGCUAAAUUUGUGAACACUUCCUUGCUCCAAUGCCAGUUAAAGGGUGGUGAAGAAUGUGCACCAGAGAUUCUUCAUGUGGAGCCAAACAAGACCUACAGGAUCAGAAUUGCUAGUACCACUUCCAUGGCUUCUCUCAACUUGGCCAUUUUAAGAUAUUCAAUUAAGCAAUAUACUUCUAGAUGAUAACUAUGAAGUUCGGCUUGGGAGUCUAAGUGAAGCUUGUGCUCAAGAAGGAGAAACUCUGAGCAGGUCCUCUGAACAAGGCAAAUCUGGUAAGUAGAAACUCAACCUUAGAUUUUUUCAUGGUUUGUAUGCCUUGAAAGCUAAAUUGUGUGUUUGCUUCUGAAAUUGCUAUACCAAAAUUACACGAUUCAUAAAUAGUAUAUUAGACAGUCUUAAUCAGAAGAUUGAAUCUUUGAAAUUGCUGUCUUUUUAGUUAAAUCCUUGGCCUUUCGUUGGAGAAAACGUAGCUGAUCAUAAAGCAAUCAACUAUCUAUUAUGUUCAUUCUUUAUUGGAUCUGCUUUUGCUCAGCUUGAAAAGAAGAGAAAAUCUCAAUAAUAGCACUAAUUAUAUAUUUGGGAAAAUAUGCUGUAAAACCUUAUGAGUUAAUGUUUCUAUUUUAUCAUCAUGAUUUCUCCUCAAUGUGAAUAUGUACCAUAAAACAACAUUUCAUUUCUGAAUGCUUUUGAAUUCUAUAAAUCUUACCAAGUAUUGAAGAUUUCCCGUGAAAUGUAUUCUCUUCUUUCAUCA